UUAAGAUUGAACACAAGACACUGUGCUCAAAUGCCCCUCCUCUACAGUCUGCUUCCACGUCAUGAACAUUUCUGCUGGGUCCUCAACAACAUCACAUCAUUUACAACAAAGCAGAAGUUGGACAUCACUGACUUUAUACCAGCGAACCCAAAUCCAGCAUCAAGAGCAAAAACCAGCCCAAUAUUUAGAGAACUACUGAGUCGAGGAAACAGCUGAAUGAUGAGUGCUGCUCAGAGUCAAACAACACUGGAGUCCAAACUGGAGGCCCUGCAGUGCCACUUCACCUGGGAUCUGGACCCCAGCAGGAACAAACGUCUCCGUUUCCGUGACCAGCUGGAGGACAUCGGCACAGAGGAGGGAAACAGCUGGCUGGGUCACAUUUACAACCUGCGGGGUUUCAUUCAAUACAAGUUGGGGCUCACUAAAGACGCCCAGAGUUUGUUCAACAAGGCUGCAGAGGCCUUCCACCAGAUGAGAAGUGCAGAUGAGGGUCCCUGGUUAGUGGUGAACUACGGGAACCUGGCUUGGCUGAACCACCACCUGCGAGACCAAGCAGAGAGUCAGGCUUACCUGACAAAGAUCAACGCCCUGAUGAAUAAAUACCCAUCUCCAUCCCAGGACGAGCUCCAUCCAGAGAUCUACGCUGAAAAAGCCUGGACCCUGAUGAAUUUCAGCACAGACAAAAAUCCGGCUGCAGAUUACUUCCAGAGAGCCAUCAAGAUGCAGCCGGACAUGGUGGAGUGGAACACCAGCCACGUCUUAGUGUUAGCGAGAGCUUUUAAACACAGCAACACGGAGCUGGAGGCUGACAUGUUGGAGAAAGUGAGAAUCGCCAAGGAACAGGAUCCAGAGAACUUGUACCUCGCUGCUUACUACCUUGAGCAAUGUGGUAAGAAAGGAGAGAGAAUUGAAGAUGAAGCACGAGAGUUAGCCAGAAAGGUUUUGAGAAAUCCCGUCAGAAGCUACAAUGGUAUGAAACCAUUAAUAAGGGUUUACAGUCAUUAUAUUUCUUUUGAUGAGGCCAUUAAAUUGGCAGACGAGGCUCUGGAAAACCAUCCAGAUGAGCGUUAUCUGAAGAGAUGUGCUGCACUCUGUUACAAAUGGAAGAUCAUUCAUUUUAGAGAAAGUCGCCCAAAGCAAAGCAUGAUAGACAGAGCAAUCAGUCUCCAUAAGGAGGUGAUUUCUCUUUACCCUCAUUCUCGAUUUGUGAAGGAAAUAGACCUCGCAAAUAUGUACGCAAAUUCCAAUCACGGCCAGGCUAAAGCUGAGCAGAUGCAUCAGGAAAUGCUAGAAAGGGAUUUGGAACCUCCAGAGAAGCAGGUCCUUUACAACCACUACGCAAAAUAUUUAUACUACGAUCAACGGGAGUACCAAAGUUCAAUACGAUAUCACAUGAAGGCGGCAGAGAUACCACAACAAUCCUUCUUUCGUGGGAACAGCAUCACAACUCUGAAGAAUAUUAAAGCCAAAGGCUGGAACCCAAUGUGUAGAGAAAUAGAGGAGUUUCUGGAAAACCUGCAAGAGCCAUAGUGUUUUGAACAUCACUGGUUCUAAAUCCAAAAAAUAAAUGUUGGUAUUGCAUUACCUAAAAAAAUCUGUACGCACUUAUUGAUUGAGCUGUAUCCUUUAAAGGCAGGUUUCAACAAGUGUCUGCACGUUUUUAGACUUAAGUACAUUUAAUGGAAGACAAAAGCUUUUUUUUAAAACUAUGUAAAAAUCUACACAUUUGCUCUGAAAAACUGUCAGCAGUAGUACACUCAAUCUGUACUAAACAGGCUGAAUCAUUCAAUAACACUAGUCCUUUAAAUAACAUCCACUGUGGACAUGUUCAAAUGUUAUUACUAUAGUUCAGUAUCACAUGAUUUAUUAAAAUAGAUUUUGAUCAGUGUUGAUUUUCAUAACUUACAUGUAAUCACUGUGUUUAUUAUAUUCCUGUUGUGUUGAUUGUUUUUUUUCCAUAGCACUGUAUUUUAAGUUUAUAUAAGAACUCCACUAUAUGUAAUUUGAAUGUCUGUAAGCUUUGGAGUAGUGAAAUAUAAAACUCUCUGAUAAUGUUAUAGAUAAUUUGAUGUAACCUGAAUAUUAUUGCCAGAUGCAACUGAUUGUAUGUAUAAAGUAUGUCAAGCUGUGUCUCAGUUGUACACAAUAGCCUACUAAUACUAAUAAAUAUACAUUAUGUACACUAAGAAAUCUUUAA